rnacentral:rRNA from 1 species
AGCGCAGGCGGGAAGACAAGUUGGAAGUGAAAUCUAUGGGCUCAACCCAUAAACUGCUUUCAAAACUGUUUUUCUUGAGUAGUGCAGAGGUAGGCGGAAUUCCCGGUGUAGCGGUGGAAUGCGUAGAUAUCGGGAGGAACACCAGUGGCGAAGGCGGCCUACUGGGCACCAACUGACGCUGAGGCUCGAAAGUCUGGGUAGCAAACA